ensembl:lncRNA
GCCUGAACCAAUGGGUGGGCUCUGUGAGUGUGUGAGUGUGGCGGCGCGGCGGUACGAACGGGGGAGGGACACAUUCCUCAGCUCGGCUCUGCCUGCGCGCUGCUACCGGGAGGGGAUUUAUAGCCAACAGUAUAAUCCUUCUGCUCUGUUCAUUAACACGUCCACUAUGGAUCACAAGGAUUAUGAAUGCAAAUUGAAUAUAGAGACAAAGUAGUAGAUGACAUCAAGGAAAAGCCACCAAACAUCUGCUUAGAAGAAGACCAGCAUCUGCUAAAAACAACCAAAGACAUAUUUGGUCACCUGCAGGGUGACCAAACCCUUGCACUGCUCUACAAUGCUGCAAUAGCUCCAUUAUCCUGCCUGGUUUUGCUAGAGGAAAUUAAAAGAAGUGAGCAUCAAAAUUUUAAAGAAAAUCAGUCUACUGUUGAAGCAAUCAUACUCCUAGAGGAACUUCUGGUCCAAAGAUAUUCAAUAUGCUCUAGGUCAUGCUGGAGUUUCCUCUAUUAUUCAUGAAUACUGGCUUACUUGCUUAGAGUUAAAUUGUGGCUACGCUCCAAGCCCAGCAAAAGUGCCCAGGAACUGAGCAUGAAAGGAGACAGUAUAUGAAAAUACUAAUUAUGAAGAAGAGGGGAAUCUUUAAUUGAUAUAAGGCAUACUGAAGAAGUAGAAAUGCACUUUCAGAAGAAGAGUUUGAUGGAAGUAGUGCUGGAGUAUGAACAAAGGUAGCCAGGAGAGCCUCCAAGAAGAGAAGCCAGACCAUUAGUAGUUUUAUUAAAGCAAUGGUGAGUGGAAAGGAAAAC